AUGAAAACUCUUAUGGUCUACUCUCUUAACAAUUUUCCUGUAUAUUAUACAGCAGUGUUAACUAUAGUCAUUAUGUUGUACAUUACAUCCUUGGUACUUAUUUAUCUUAUAGCUGGAAGUUUGUGCCUUUUGACCACCUUCCUCCGAUCCCUACCCCCACGUUAUCUUUUGAUUACAGGAGCAGUUGAUACUUCCUCCUGCUGUAGACACUCAUUCACUCAACAUAUAUUUACUCAACAUUUAUGGAGUGCCAGUCACUAUGUCUCCAAGACCUUAUUGGAUUGGUGUGAUAUCCAGAAUACAAGCUCUCCAGCAGAAGCUGUUCCUUCCCAAACCUGGUGGGAAGUCCCUGAGCCACACUUAAAAGAGAUGCAGCAGCCAGAUCCCAGAGUCAACAAGAACUUAUUGGAAGACCAAGAAGAGUUGCUUCUGAGGAAUAAAGCAAGUGAGCAUUUAGUAAGAAGAUGGAAGAGGUAUAGGAUGGAUCCAGGAGUUGGAGUGGGAGCUUGUCUACUGCUUGUGAAAUUAUUGCAUUGGGGUGACUUACGUCUGUGUUUUCUCGAUCCCUAG
rnacentral:lncRNA from 1 species